GAUGAACGCUGGCGGCGUGCCUAAUACAUGCAAGUCGAGCGAACAGAUGAGGAGCUUGCUCCUCUGACGUUAGCGGCGGACGGGUGAGUAACACGUGGAUAACCUACCUAUAAGACUGGGAUAACUUCGGGAAACCGGAGCUAAUACCGGAGAAUAUAUUGAACCGCAUGGUUCAAUAGUGAAAGACGGUUUUGCUGUCACGUAUAGAUGGAUCCGCGCCGCAUUAGCUAGUUGGUAAGGUAACGGCUUACCAAGGCAACGAGGCGUAGACGAGCUGAGAGGGUGGUCGCCCACACUAGAACUGAGACACGGUCCAGAGUCCUGCGGGAGGCAGCAGUAGCGAAUCUUCCGCAAUAGGCGAAAGCCUGACGGAGCAACGCCGCGUGAGUGAUGACGGUCUUCGGAUCGUAAAACUCUGUUAUUAGGGAAGAACAAAUGUGUAAGUAACUAUGCACGUCUUGACGGUACCUAAUCAGAAAGCCACGGCUAACUACGUG
rnacentral:rRNA from 1 species